rnacentral:tRNA from 1 species
UGGUAGUUAGCUCAGUGGUAGAGCACUUGCCUUGCAUGCAUAAAGCCCUGGGUUAGAGCCCCAGCACUGUGAA